rnacentral:rRNA from 1 species
AUUCCAGCUCCAAUAGUGUAUAUUAAAGUUGUUGCAGUUAAAAAGCUCGUAGUUGGAUUUCUGGCGGGAGCGAUCGGUCCUUCACUCAGUGUUGGAACCUGAUUGUCUCCUGCCAUCCAUGGAGAAAACUUAUCUGGCAUUAAGUUGUCGGGUAGGCAAUCUCCAUCUUUUACUGUGAAAAAAUUAGAGUGUUCAAAGCAGGCUUAUGCCGUUGAAUAUAUUAGCAUGGAAUAAUAAGAUACGACACUGGUGGUCUAUUUUGUUGGUUUGCACACCAGAGUAAUGAUUAAUAGGGACAGUUGGGGGUAUUCGUAUUCCAGUGGAAGAGGUGAAAUUCUUGGAUUUAUGGAAGACGAACUGCUGCGAAAGCGUCGAACAAGGACGUUCUCAUUA